UUUGGUUUUGGUUUUGGUUUUUUUUGGGGGGGGGAGUUGUGUGUGUGUGUGUGUGUGUGUGUGUGUGUGUGUGUGUGUUUGUACCUGGAGAUCUGGAAGGAUUAUACCUAUAAGACAUAAAGUUUAGCCUUUUAAUACUAUGAACCCCCACCCCCACUCCCCAUGUAUUUAAAAUGGUUGAUUGCUGUAAGGAAUUCUCUUUCAGGAUAAAGGUUUUAACGUUCUCUGGAAGUCCUUUAAGCAAGACUUUUGUGUUGUCUAAGAAUCGUUUGCGUCUGGUAACAAGUAGGCCAAUAUUUACUGAAGGCAAACUCCACUGCUGUGCUCAGCCCUGUGGAAGAAACUACUGGGGUCUCUGGGAAAUCGUGAGUCUCCCAUGCCUCUGCAUAGUCUCAUGCUAAUCAUAGUGGUGAUAAGAUAUCAUGCUAAUCACAGGUCUCUCAGGUCUAUCUAAGACUAGUCUAUGGUCACUUGGCUUCUGUAGUUGGACAUGUCAUGGGACGUACAGAGGUGUGUGGUGGAGGUUGGCUGUUCGUAUCACAAUAGGAGACAGAAUGUGAGCAGGAAGGGGCUAGAGAUAAGAACUCCCCCAAGGACUCCCCACCAGUGCGACCUUGCUUCCUGCAGCCAGUUUGUGACUCUCAAAGUUCCCAGAGCCUCCCUAAAGAGCACCACCAGCUGGAGAUUAACAUUCAUGCCCAAUCCAUAAUGAUUCGUUACUCCUUUGAUCAGAGACAUACAAGGUUGGGUCACACAAGGCAUUACAUAAAUUUGAACUUGUUCACCCAUUUCUAGAGCCUUGAACCACCAUGUAAAUCCAACUACCCUUAGGCAACUAAGUUAGGAAGAAACCACAAAAGGGAAGCUAUAAGAAGACACCAUAGCCAACAGCUGCAAAUGAAUCCAGGAAUCUGAGUGCCAACCUCCAGUUGUCUCCAGAUCUUGAACAAUGCAAUCAUCUCCAGCCAUUUUUUUCCCUAGAUGAGACCCCAGACCUCACGGAGCAAUUACGUGCCAUGCUCCAUUUCUUCAACUCGCCUCACACACACAGGAUUCACGAGGUAUAAGAAACCGUUGUGAUAUCACCCUUCUAAGUUGAAGUCUGAUUUUGCACGGGAAUAGAUAAUGGAUUGAUAUUUGACAAGUGUCAUGAACAACACAGUUACAUUUUUAAAAGUACGGAUGUGUAUGCGUGCACAGAACAGUCCAGCAGACAAGAAGUAUUAGCAGUGAGCAGGGAUUACUCCGGACGUGAGGCAAAGUUAAUGUUCUCCUUUAUUUCUUUCUUUGUUUUCUGAACUUUCUACAGUGAGUUCGUACUGCUUAAGUGAAUAAAGAAUAGAAGCCACUCGCAGGAGGUCACACUGAAAGAUGAUGGUUGUGAUUCCAGAUGCAAGCCAAGGGCUUCUAAUGAUGGCUGAGACCUGGUUGAAAGGGAGAUGGUCUGGGCUCACCACCAUCCCUCUGGACUUGGAAGUGGGCAGUGGUUGUGUGUCAACACGGGGUGGGGAGAUGAUUGAAAAGGCAAGGAAGGAUGUAGGAGUGACUGCCAGAGAACAUCUUUCUGGCAACAGGGCAAUAUCUAGUAUGUGCAUCCCUAUGUGGUUAAUGGAGGCUCCCUCUGCACCACAAGGUCAGGUGUGUGAGCUCUGAUGUCAUCCAGUGACUAGUAAAGAUGCUGACAGGAAGCGAGUCACAGAGCACAUCUUUUUCCUCAGAUGCAGUCCUGCCAAGAGCAUAGGCACAAAUGUUGGUGUGACUAAGGCAGCCUUGGCCCGAGUGAAUAACCACAUGUUAGAAGCAGAGGGAAAUCAGGGACACGUGAAGAGGGCUCAACCAAAAGGACCAAACCUUGUGACUUUCACACACACACACACACACACACACACACACACACACACACACACACACACAAAAGUUUGAAUGGGGCCAAGGCUGAGUCCAGCACUAUAGACAUGGUUUCUAUGGAAACUUUGAAAGCAAAUAGUGCAUCAGUGAAGGAGGGAGGCCCUCGUUAAGCAGGGAGGACAGUGCCAGCCAUGCAGCCAGUGCUUCCCCUGUAGCAGUAACUGCCCACUUCUACAAGAACAUUCCGGAGCAAAAGCCCAGGCACAGUGGGCACUGGGAAGGUGGCAGGAGACUCAGAGAUCAGGCAGGAAGGGGUGUGCCAGUCCUCUGGGCCACACUGAGUGGAGGUGAGAGCUUUCUGAGUGUCUGCUGAGGCACAAGUCACUCUAGUUCUUAAACAUCUCUCAGCCAUGUCUGCUGAGCAGACCCCCUGCUAAUUAGAAAUGUACUUUGUACCCAGGUCUCACUUUUCUAAGGCUGUAAGAUGAACAGAUGAAAUCAUAAUUCCCUCCAGCCAAUGCCUGCAUUCUUCCAAUCCUAGAAUAAAGCAUCAGUUCUCAGACACCAAAGCAUCCCUGUGCCUGGUCCAGGUCCCUCUGCUUCACCUUUGCGUGUGCUCAGUCUCUUUCCUUUCUUCAUGUUUCACAUCUCACCAGCAUUUUCUGGGCCAGAAAAAUGCCUGACUCUUAACAUAUGUCAUAUUGACUUUCAUAUCCAGUUCCUGAGGUUCUAAGCACACCUUUCUUCACACACAAACACACACACACACACAUACACACACACACAUAUCUGCAUGUGCAUACACACAUAUAUACAUACUCACAUGCACAGACACCAUAAACACACAUGCACAUAUGAACAUGCUUAUACAUAUAUGUACAUACAGACAUAUCUAUAUAUGAUAAGAACUAUCUAUAUAUGAUACAUACAUGCACAUACAAGCAUACUUACACAUGCACACACAUACAUAUAUGCAUACACUUACACAAUGCACAGAUACACAUAAACACACAUGCACACACAUACAAAGACAUACACACAUGCACAGACACAAACAAACAUACAUGUUCCCAUAUAAAGACAUACACAUGUGUACACACAUAGACACACAUGUACACACAAACAUGCUUACACAUGCACACACAUACAGACAUACGCUUACAUGCAUGCACAAAUACACAUAAAUGCUGAUGCAAACACAAACAUGCUUACACAUGCACACACAUAUGCACAUAUAGACACAACACAUACACACACCCAGGAAUUAUGCCUCUGCUCCAAAUGACUAUAUUCAGUUCUACAAGUAAAGUUAUCUUUGCUCUGGAGCUAGCAAGGAUUGGUUGUGACAGCACAGAUUUGAUAAACCUAACAAAAGUAUGAGGUAGACUGACACCAUCUCAAUUCCCAGAAAAGAUGAGAACAAGAGAAGUAGACUGAAGACUGUCUGAGUGACUACAGGUGCUGUGGGAGCUUCAGUGACACGGCAAGCCCUUCCCGGAAGUGGAGAUAGCUGUGGAACACUUCUACUUCUGUAGCAAGACCAGGUGGGGAGAAGAAGGCAGCUGCUGACCAACACCACAUCUUUCCUCCUUCCACAAUAAUAAUGAGUCACUGGCUGGGUUCUGGGGGAGCAGAGCCUCCAUUUUCAGGCACCUCUCCACCGAGGAAUCUGGUCCUUAACCUCAAUCUUCGAUCUGUGACAAGAGGAGGAGGAAAUCUGGAACUGAGUGACCUCGUGGAACAAAGGAAGCUGCCAAUGUACCCUGAACCAGUCAUGUUUAUUGCUAAUUUUAAUAAUAAUUUUGCAGCUCAUUGGGUGAGUAAAGUUU